rnacentral:rRNA from 1 species
UACGUAGGGCGCAAGCGUUGUCCGGAAUUAUUGGGCGUAAAGAGCUCGUAGGCGGCUUGUCGCGUCGGUUGUGAAAAGCCCGGGGCUUAACCCCCGGGUCUGCAGUCGAUACGGGCAGGCUAGAGUUCGGUAGGGGAGAUCGGAAUUCCUGGUGUAGCGGUGAAAUGCGCAGAUAUCAGGAGGAACACCGGUGGCGAAGGCGGAUCUCUGGGCCGAUACUGACGCUGAGGAGCGAAAGCGUGGGGAGCGAACAGG